rfam:Exophiala aquamarina CBS 119918 aczIA-supercont1.16, whole genome shotgun sequence.
AGCCACGUGGCGCAGUGGAAGCGCGCCGGGCUCAUAACCCGGAGGACAUUGGAUCGAAACCAAUCGUUGCUA